AUGGCGGCGGUUGGAUGCGCGGCCAGGAGGCUCGGCGGCUCCCUGCUCCAGCAAACGCAGACGGCGGCCACCUCACCUGCGAUCGCGGAGGAGCGACGCCGGCUCGUGACACGGCUCAUGCACACCAACGAGCAUUCUGGUGAAGACGUUUUGCGCCAGAUCCAGCAGAAGAAAAAGGAGCUGUAUGAUAUGAUACUUAAGGCGGAGAAGAAUUUCAUGACUAGUAACUGGCGUAACAGAGGGCUACUCCGGCAUCUUUCUGUACAAAUCGAUCCAAUGCCACAUGACUUGCAAUGGCACCGGUUAAGGUUAUCCAAAAGGGCUACCAAUGUGGUGAAGAUAGUUGGGGUUAUUACAUUAACAUCUAUGGUUGCUACUGGUUCGUUUAGUUACCAAGAUUUCAAAGAUUAUCUCGCAGACAGAAAGAAGCUACCCAAGGCUGUUAAGAAGAAAAAUCAGCGCUCACAGGAAGAAGCUAGUCCGGCCUGUUAA
rnacentral:rRNA from 1 species